rnacentral:lncRNA from 1 species
AGCAGGAAAGGCAGGGGAGGCAGCGGCGGGAAGCCUUCCUUAGCUGUGUGAUCCUAGAUGGCUGGUAACUUAGCAUUUGAGGACUGUCUCAGAUAGACACAAUUGGACCAGAUUUUGUACCAUAGAAAAAAAGGCUUUACCCACUCAAACAUCCACUGUUUUCAGCAGACAAGAGUCCUAAGUGGAUGCCUGAUUGGCUGAUCCUAGGCCAUGUGCCUGCUCACUGGAUGUACUGAGGCCAUGAGAAGAAGGAUCUGGCAAAACAAACCUCAGGGACCUCAUCAAGAAGGCAGAGGACCUGGACUAACCAUGGCAUCCAAACUGAACACAAUUUUAGAGACCUGGCCAACAGGGUGAAACCCUGUCGCUACUAAUAAUACAAAAAUUAGCCAGACAUAGUGGUGCAUGACUGUAAUCCCAGCUACUUAGGAGGCUGAGGCAGGAGAAUCGCUUGAACCUGGGAGGCAGAGGUUGCAGUGAGCUGGGAUCGCACCAUUGCACUCCAGCCUGGGCAACACGAGCAAAACUCUGUCUCAAAA